rnacentral:rRNA from 1 species
UACGUAGGGUGCGAGCGUUGUCCGGAAUUACUGGGCGUAAAGAGCUCGUAGGUGGUUUGUCGCGUUGUUCGUGAAAACUCACAGCUCAACUGUGGGCGUGCGGGCGAUACGGGCAGACUGGAGUACUGCAGGGGAGACCGGAAUUCCUGGUGUAGCGGUGGAAUGCGCAGAUAUCAGGAGGAACACCCGUGGCGAAGGCGGCUCUCUGGGACGGUACUGACGCUGAGACGCGAAAGCGUGGGGAGCGAACAGG